CCUACGGGAGGCAGCAGUGAGGGAUAUUGCGCAAUGGGCGAAAGCCUGACGCAGCAAUUCCGCGUGGAGGACGAAGGCCUUCGGGUUGUAAACUCCUUUUGUGAGGGAAGAAGUUCUGACGGUACCUCACGAAUAAGACACGGCUAACUACGUGCCAGCAGCCGCGGUAAUACGUAGGUGUCGAGCGUUGUCCGGAUUUAUUGGGCGUAAAGCGCCCGCAGGCGGCCAGGCAAGUCCAGGGUGAAAUCUCCCGGCUCAACCGGGAGGGUGCCCUGGAAAGUGCUGGGCUUGAGGCAGGGAGAGGGAUGUGAAAUUCCCGGGGUAGUGGUGAAAUGCGUAGAUAUCGGGAGGAACACCAGGGGCGAAGGCGGCAUCCUGGCCCUGUCCUAACACUCAGGGGCGAAAGCGUGGGGAGCAAACGG
rnacentral:rRNA from 1 species